ensembl:lncRNA
CGGGUCCUGACGGGUCCUGACCGGUCCUGACCGGUCUUCUCCUGCCAGCGACCCAGCUGCACCUGCUGACUGAGCAGAAACACCGAGCUUAUAAAAAGAGCGGCGGAUUGGUCCAGAGCAGGCAGCCUGGUCGAUGACAUCACUACCUUGGCUCCACUGUUCGGAUUUGCUAGCUAGCGCAGUUAGCUAGCCCCGUUCUGUAUAUUUUGUUAGCCGGUUAGCUAGCCCCAGUUCUGUAUAUUUUGUUAGCCGGUUACCUAGCCCCGUUCUGUAUGUUUUGCUAGCUGGUUAGCUAGCCCCGUUUGCUGCUGUGAGGGAACCGGCUGAACCGGGCCAAAGAGAGACCGAACCUACAACAGGAGGAAGCUGGAGAAAACCCACACAUGCACAAGGAGAACAUGCAAACUCCAUGCAGAAAGAUCCUGGGAAGGCCGGGAUGCAAACCAGGGAUCUUCUAGCUGCAAGUUUCAGGGUUCUGAUUUCGCUCUGUCAUGACCUACUGGGACAUUUAAAUCCAAGGAAGACAUCAUUAAUGUUAGUUAGGAGUCUCACCUGCACAUUUCCUAUGAAGAGUCCAA